GUGGCGUUUUUCAUAUUGCUCUGGCUUUGUCCGCCACAGUCUAGUGAUAUUUUGAAUUUUGAAUUCAAAAUAAAUUUGGAGAAAAAAAAUCAUUCCCAUUAUUUACGUUCUCUCUCCAUUAGGUAUCUCCCCUUUUCUCUCUUCAUACUCUUCUUUGAUCUUUUUUCUUCUUCUUCAUCUUUAGUUCCUCCUCUUUUUUCACUUCAUCUUCUCCGUUCACUUUAGUUCCUCUUCUUAUUCUUCUUAUUGUUCUAAUCUAAGUUGGAAGUGGAUAUUAUAGAGUUUGUGAUAGAGCGGAUGUGGAGGAUUUGACGCUGUUCGUGAUGGCUCCAAGCUUCAGGGGAUUUGUCGUUGUUGAGGCAACCCAAUCCGGGGUGGUUGAUUUAUGGUAGUGGUUGCGGUGGUUGCUAUUUUGGUGGUGGAUGAUGGUAUGGUUUUGGUGGUGGUCGCAGCCAAUGCAAGGGAUGUCGUCUUUGUCGCUGAUGCUGUGGUGAUGGAUACAGAGGACAAAGCAGCGGGAGAAUGCUGGUCAGUAAAUAAAGUUCUCUGUGGCUGGGAUAUCGGGAAUCCAACACUCUAACAUUGAAAGGAAGAUCAUGAAACUGAUUUUAAAAAGGGCCGUUUCUUCUACAUGGAAAUUAACCCCGAUAUGGAUAUCGGUGAAAUCCCAUCUAUCUUCUUCAAGAAGUACAAAGAUUUUUACCUAAUGAAUUAGUGUUCUAUGACUUAGCUGGUAAUGAGAUUGAAGUUGCCAUCGAGAAGGGUCACCGAACUGGCAUUAUUGUUAGUGGCUACAACAACUUUGCAUUGUUAUAUGAUUUGAAAGAAGGUGGUUGGUUGCAAGUUUACUACGUUGGUAUGGAUAAGUUUCUCACCAUCGAAGUAAAAGACCAUAACAUGGUUGAAAAGCAGCCCUGUUUUCCCCCUGUGAAGCUUCCUCUGGACAUAAAACCUUCAGUUGUUGUUGAGGAAGUUAUAGACCUUUGUGACGAAUCUUUACAAGAUAACCAUUUUUUUGAACCAUUGUUAAAGUCUCCAACUCCCUCAUCAUGUAAGAAAAUCUCUAAUGAUUGGCUAAACAAAUCACCUACUGCAGAAUUUCAAUUUGGUCAGUUUUUUUACCUACAGAAUCUAUUCAAUGAUAUUAAUGUUGUUCAACCCAGCAUGGAUUUUAAAUUACUCGACACCUUCAAUGAUUAUACUGAUCCAUGCUUCGACCCUAUUCUAUAUCAAUCUGAUCCUGAUCCUAUCAAACAAGUUCUUUCACUAACUGAAUGUACUUCACCUAAGAAUAACACCUCUAAUCAUUAUGAAAGUCAGACUUUUGGUUUUCCUAUAAGUAUGUUUGAUACUUCUCAACUCAAUCUUAAUACAAGUAUUUCUGAGAAAGACCAGUCCAUACGUUUAUCGCCCGUUUUAUCCAAUUACUCUAUUGAAGUAAUAUCUCAACCCGGUUCUCCUAAUAAUUGACAAGUAUAUUCAAUUGAGAAAUCCGUGUCUGAUUAUCAGGCAACACAUUAUUUAAUGUUGUUGCCUUCAAAAUUUGCUUCUGUGGCAUUCCCUUCCAGACUUUCAUUUGUCAAUGUACGACAACCAACUGGACCAUCGUUCAUAAUGGGUCUUCAAUGGAGGGGUUCUACUUCAUCGGAGGUAUUUCUUGCUCGAGGAUGGCGUAGAUUCUGCCUUCAACAUGGAAUAGUGCAAAGGAGUGUGGUCAAGUUUACCGUCCCUGUUGAUGAUGAGAAAUCCAUGACUUUAGAAGUUUUGAGAAUUUAGUAUUUAUUAGGAGUUUUAUUCGCCAUAUUACCGUGUUGAUCCUUUUGGUUACUAAUUAUAAUAUAGAUUUCUUUAUAAUAUCUUUAUUGGAUCUUCUAU